rnacentral:lncRNA from 10 species
GAUCACAAGGUCAGGAGUUCGAGACUAGGCUGGCCAACAUGGUGAAACCGUGUCUGUACUAAAAAUACAAAAAAAAAAAAAAAAAAAAAAUUAGCCAGGCAUCGUGGGAGGCACUUGUAAUUCCAGCUCUUGGGAGGCUGGGGUAGGAGAAUUGCUCGAACCCGGGAGGCGGACAUUGCAGUGAGCUGAGAUCAGCCACUGCAUUCCAGUCUGGGUGACAGAGCAAGACUCUGUCUCGGAAAAACAAACAAACAAACAAAAAAACUAUGUCUGGAGGCCAGGUGUAGUGGCUCAUGCUUGUAAUCCCAGCACUUUGAGAGGCCAAGGCAGGCAGAUAGCUUGAGCUAAGGAGUUUGAGACCAGCCUGCGCAACAUGGCGAAACUCCUUUUCCACCAAAAAAUACAAAAAAUUUGCCGGGUGUGGUGGUACAUGCCUAUAGUCCCAGCUACUUGGGAGGCUGAGGUGGGAGGAUUGCUUGAGCCUGGGAGGUGGAGGCUGCAGUGACCUGAGAUCUCUCCACUCUAGCCUGGGUGACAGAGCGAGACCCCAACCCCCACCAAAACAAAAAACAAACAAAAAACUACAGCUGGAAUACAGUAAAUAAAUGCUCUAUAAGCAUUCCUAUUAUAAUUAUUGUUGUUGUUGUUUUCGAAACAUAAGGACUAAGGUGCUCUGGACUGAAUUUGUGUUCCCCCAAAUUCCUGUGUUGAAACCCUGCUCCCUAGUGUGAUGGUAUGAGGAGGUGAGGAGGUCAUAGGCAUUCACAUACAUUUUUUCUUUCU